rnacentral:rRNA from 1 species
UAUUGCACAAUGGGGGAAACCCUGAUGCAGCGACGCCGCGUGAGUGAAGAAGUAUUUCGGUAUGUAAAGCUCUAUCAGCAGGGAAGAAAAUGACGGUACCUGAUUAAGAAGCCCCGGCUAACUAAGUGCCAGCAGCCGCGGUAAUACGUAGGGGGCAAGCGUUAUCCGGAAUUACUGGGUGUAAAGGGGGCGCAGACGGCAGCGCAAGCCAGGAGUGAAAGCCCGGGGCCCAACCCCGGGACUGCUCUUGGAACUGCGCGGCUGGAGUGCAGGAGAGGUAAGCGGAAUUCCUAGUGUAGCGGUGAAAUGCAUAGAUAUUAGGAGGAACACCAGUGGCGAAGGCGGCUUACUGGACUGUAACUGACGUUGAGGCUCGAAAGCGUGGGGAGCAAACAGG